rnacentral:snRNA from 1 species
ACGUAAUAUAGCAAAGAUCACGA